ensembl:lncRNA
CAUCAACUCACAUUCCAUCACAGACUGUUUCCCCCUUGUAUUUAGUUCUCCACACCAAGCCCUGUGAAGCCCUCGUCUGCUUCCCCCCCAUCCUGGAUUUCCCCCUCUUGGACUCUGUUUUGCUCCGAUCUGUUCAUGGAUAUUCCCCAGCCUUCUGUCUGCCAGUUUUCUUCCCCCCACUAACUUCUGGAUUCCCUGAGCCUGCCUGCUUUGCCCCCUUAGUUCUCUUUCCCCUGGUUUUGUACAAGGCGCUGCAUGCUGAGGAGGAAACAGCUGCAGCGAACCACAGUGUUGACCGAACAGAGCAGAACAGGACGUAUAGCUGGGCUAUUUGUGUCCCAUCCUGUCAACGCAAUCUUCAAAGUCCAACACGGGUCUCCUGAGGUUUUCCAUGACGGCACUUUUAUUCUCGCCUGCUGAGCCCCUCACUGGGCAGGAGGAAACUCUAGACCAGACCCUUUACCAGCUCUGAGCUCCUCUGCUGUCUUUCAUCAUCCCUUCUCUCUGUUUCUCUAAUAAAAGAAUCAUUCGCCGCUUGAACCGACUUAAAAGGAAAGAGACAAUUUGCUAAUGAUUCUCCUUAAAUCCUCGCUGGUGACUUGAAUUGACCCUGUGCUUUAUUUUGAAAUGUAUUUGUUUUGAUGCUGGUCAACCUCAGAGGGCACAUUUAACAAGAGUCAGACAUCUCUUUCUGCAGGCUGUUUCGUGACAAAUUGCAACAAUGAUGCAUUUGUACCAUUAGCUGCAGAGACAAGGAAAACCUUAACCCAGUUUACCCAACAUUUGUAUGCUGUUUUUUUUUCUAUCCACCUUUUGACAGAUAAAACUUUAAAGCUGAGCAUUUCUAAUGCUUGCUCUUAUUGUCUGUUCCUUUAGUGUUUGCUGUCAAAAAAUACUGAGAUUCAGCAGUAAAUGAACAAGGGCUCUGUUGAUGUAGUGAGGAUGAGAUUGUUGAUUUUUAAGUCAGAGUAUGUCCAGCUGUCUUU